CGCCCCGUGAGGGGCGUCUACCCCGGUACCUGAUACGGCCGGAGAGA
ncrna:Nocardioides luteus L17-Actino-Proteobacteria ribosomal protein leader